rnacentral:rRNA from 1 species
AACGCGAAGAACCUUACCUGGGCUCGAACGGCUUUGGAACAUCUUUGGAAACAGAGACUUCUCGCAAGAGACCGGAGUCGAGGUGCUGCAUGGCUGUCGUCAGCUCGUGUCGUGAGAUGUUGGGUUAAGUCCCGCAACGAGCGCAACCCUUGUCCUGUGUUGCCACUCCCGUAAGGGAAGCACUCUCAGGAGACCGCCAGCGAUAAGUUGGAGGAAGGUGGGGAUGACGUCAAGUCCUCAUGGCCUUUAUGUCCAGGGCUACACACGUGCUACAAUGGCCGGUACAAACCGCUGCAACCCCGCGAGGGUGAGCGUAAUCGGAAAAAGCCGGCCUACAGUUCGGAUUGGAGUCUGCAACUCGACUCCAUGAAGCUGGAAUCGCUAGUAAUCGUGGAUCAGCAUGCCACGGUGAAUACGUUCCCGGGCCUUGUACACACCGACUGUAC